GGGGGGGGGGGGGGGGGGGGGUGGGGGGGGGGGGGCGGGGGGACGGGUGGGGAGCUUGGGGGUCGGAGGGGAGGGGCGGGCGGGUGAGUAACACGUGGAUGGCCUGCCUGUGAUACGUGGAUAACUUCGGGAAACCGGCGCUCAUACCGUGUACUAUCUUUAACCGCCUGUUUCAAUAUUUAAAGCCGGUUUUGCUGUCACUUAUCUAUUGAUCCGCGCCUCAUUAGCUACUGGUUAAGGUAACGGCUUACAACGGCACAGAUGCGUAGACGACAUUAGAGGGUGAUCGGCAAAACUGGAACUGAGACACGGUCCAGACUCCUACGGGAGGCAGCAGUAGGGAAGCUUCCGCAAUGGGCGAAAGCCUGACGGAGCAACGCCGCGGGAGUGAUGAAGGUCUUCGGAUAGUAAAACUCUGUUAUUAGGGAAGAACAAAUGUGUAAGUAACUAUGCACGUCUGGACGGUACCUAAUCAGAAAGACACGGCUAACUACGUG
rnacentral:rRNA from 1 species